rnacentral:lncRNA from 1 species
UUACACUGUGCUCAGUGAUUUACACUGUGCUCAGUAACCUACACUGUGCUCAGUGAUGUACAAUGUGUUCAGUACUUUACAAUGUGUUCAGUAAUUUCCUGCUGUUCAUCUGCCCUCUGCCAGUGGGAACCAGAGGUGCAGGGGCAGGGUUGGUGUUUUCCAUUACCCGUUAACUCCGAGCCAGCCCUCAUGCAAUUAGUUAACACAAGCAAUUGGAGGAAUUGCUCAGGGUGCUCGCUCAGCCCUUGGAAGUGCUGUGGUUCUGAUUCCAUCUCCUUUGCUGUCUCGUUCACGGAUCAGUCACAACACUGUUCCUGUGCUCCGCUGGUUUGCUGCCCUUUCAGCAACGCUGAUAUUCCCCGGCAAGGCUGGUGGCUCGGGCAUAGGGGCAACUUGUUCCCAGCCCCAGACAAAGGACAGGUCCUGGCUCUGGAGUGCAAUCCCUGGGUGCCUGAAGGGCAUGGAUCGAGCUGCAGAGCAGCUGCUCCCUUUAAACUGCAGCAAUGCCCCCAGCCAGCAUCCUGUUCAGGGGGAGGAUCACGAUCCCAAACCCCGAGCUGCUCCCUUUAAACUGCAGCAAUGCCCCCAGCCAGCAUCCUGUUCAGAGCGAGGAUCGCGAUCCCAAACCCCGAGCUGCUCCCAGGAAAACUGCAGCAAUGCUCCCAGCCAGCAUCCUGUUCAGGGGGAGGAUCACGAUCCCAAACCCCGAGCUGCUCCCAGGAAAACUGCAGCAAUGCCCCCAGCCAGCAUCCUGUUCAGAGCGAGGAUCGCGAUCCCAAACCCCGAGCUGCUCCCAGGAAAACUGCAGCAAUGCUCCCAGCCAGCAUCCUGUUCAGGGGGAGGAUCACGAUCCCAAACCCCGAGCUGCUCCCAGGAAAUCUGCAGCAAUGCCCCCAGCCAGCAUCCUGUUCAGGGGCAGGAUCACCAUCCCAAACCCCGAGCUGCUCCCAGGAAAUCUGCAGCAAUGCCCCCAGCCAGCGUCCUGUUCAGAGCGAGGAUCGCGAUCCCAAACCCCGAGCUGCUGCCGCUGCUCCCGGGAGGAGCUGCUGCUGUGGGCAGCAGGGCAGGAGCUGUUCCAAGAAGGAGCCCAAAGUUGUACUCAGAGGUUUGGAUACUCCAGGAAUCUUUUCGGCUGUGUUUGAGUAUUGACUGUAAAACAGCACUUACUGGUUUUAGACCGGGAUUGCUUCAUGUAUCUACUGACAGUAAAUAA